AACGAACGCUGGCGGCACGUUUUAAGCAUGCAAGUCGAAUGGCAGCAGGGGCAACUCUGUGAGAAUGGCGAACGGGUGAGUAACACGUAGGUGAUCUGCCUUGAGGAUGGGGAUAGCCUGUGGAAACACAGGGUAAUACCGAAUGAGCUGACGAGACUUUGUUUUUGUUAGUAAAGGUGCUACGGCACCGCCUUGAGAGGAGCCUGCGGCUGAUUAGCUAGUUGGUGGGGUAAGAGCUUACCAAGGCGACGAUCAGUAGCCGGCCUGAGAGGGGGUACGGCCACACUGGAACUGAGACACGGUCCAGACUCCUACGGGAGGCAGCAGCUAAGAAUCUUCCGCAAUGGGCGAAAGCCUGACGGAGCGAUGCCGCGUGAUCGAUGAAGGUCGAGAGAUUGUAAAGAUCUUUUCUACAUGAGGAAUAAGUCUGGGAGGGAAUGCCCGGAUGAUGACGUUAGUGUAGGAAUAAGCCCCGGCUAAUUACGUGCCAGCAGCCGCCGUAA
rnacentral:rRNA from 1 species